UGACGCAGCGACGCGCGUGGAUGAUGAAGGCCUUCGGGUCGUAAAAUCCUGUCAGAUGGAAAGAAGUGUAUAGAUGUUAAUACCAUUUAUAUUUGACGGUACCAUCAAAGGAAGCACCGGCUAACUCCGUGCCAGCAGCCGCGGUAAUACGGAGGGUGCAAGCGUUGUUCGGAAUUACUGGGCGUAAAGCGCGCGUAGGCGGUUUUAUAAGUCUAAGAUGUGAAAGUCCAGGAAUUACUGGNCGUAAAGCGCGCGUAGGCGGUUUUAUAAGUCNNAGAUGUGAAAGUCCACGGCUCAACCGUGGAAGUGCAUUUGAAACUGUAUUACUUGAGUACUGGAGGGGGUGGUGGAAUUCCCGGUGUAGGGUGAAAUUCGUAGAUAUCGGGAGGAAUACCGGUGGCGAAGGAGACCACCUGGCCAGAUACUGACGCUGAGGUGCGAAAGCGUGGGGAGAAACAGGAUUAGAUACCCUGGUAGUCCACGCCGUAAACGAUGUCAACUAGGUGUUGGGGCGGUUAAUCGUCUCAUUGCCGGACGUAACGCAUUAAGUUGACCGCCUGGGAGUACGUCGC
rnacentral:rRNA from 1 species